UACGUAGGGAGCAAGCGUUGUCCGGAAUCAUUGGGCGUAAAGCGCGCGUAGGUGGCCUCGUAAGUCCGCUGUGAAAGUCCAGGGCUCAACCCUGGGAUGCCGGUGGAUACUGUCGGGCUCGAGUCCGGAAGAGGCGAGUGGAAUUCCUGGUGUAGCGGUGAAAUGCGCAGAUAUCAGGAGGAACACCAAUGGCGAAGGCAGCUCGCUGGGACGUGACUGACGCUGAGACGCGAAAGCGUGGGGAGCAAACAGG
rnacentral:rRNA from 1 species